GAUGAACGCUGGCGGCGUGCCUAAUACAUGCAAGUCGAGCGAACGGACGAGAAGCUUGCUUCUCUGAUGUUAGCGGCGGACGGGUGAGUAACACGUGGAUAACCUACCUAUAAGACUGGGAUAACUUCGGGAAACCGGAGCUAAUACCGGAUAAUAUUUUGAACCGCAUGGUUCAAAAGUGAAAGACGGUCUUGCUGUCACUUAUAGAUGGAUCCGCGCUGCAUUAGCUAGUUGGUAAGGUAACGGCUUACCAAGGCAACGAUGCAUAGCCGACCUGAGAGGGUGAUCGGCCACACUGGAACUGAGACACGGUCCAGACUCCUACGGGAGGCAGCAGUAGGGAAUCUUCCGCAAUGGGCGAAAGCCUGACGGAGCAACGCCGCGUGAGUGAUGAAGGUCUUCGGAUCGUAAAACUCUGUUAUUAGGGAAGAACAUUUGUGUAAGUAACUGUGCACAUCUUGACGGUACCUAAUCAGAAAGCCACGGCUAACUACGUGCCAGCCGCCGCGGUAAUACGUAAGUGGCAAGCGUUAUCCGGAAAUAUUGGGCGUAAAGCGCGCGUAGGCGGUUUUUUAGUCUGAUGUGAAAGCCCACGGCUCAACCGUGGAGGGUCAUUGGAAACUGGAAAACUUGAGUGCAGAAGAGGAAAGUGGAAUUCCAUGUGUAGCGGUGAAAUGCGCAGAGAUAUGGAGGAACACCAGUGGCGAAGGCGACUUUCUGGUCUGUAACUGACGCUGAUGUGCGAAAGCGUGGGGAUCAAACAGGAUUAGAUACCCUGGUAGUCCACGCCGUAAACGAUGAGUGCUAAGUGUUAGGGGGUUUCCGCCCCUUAGUGCUGCAGCUAACGCAUUAAGCACUCCGCCUGGGGAGUACGACCGCAAGGUUGAAACUCAAAGGAAUUGACGGGGACCCGCACAAGCGGUGGAGCAUGUGGUUUAAUUCGAAGCAACGCGAAGAACCUUACCAAAUCUUGACAUCCUUUGACAACUCUAGAGAUAGAGCUUUCCCCUUCGGGGGACAAAGUGACAGGUGGUGCAUGGUUGUCGUCAGCUCGUGUCGUGAGAUGUUGGGUUAAGUCCCGCAACGAGCGCAACCCUUAAGCUUAGUUGCCAUCAUUAAGUUGGGCACUCUAAGUUGACUGCCGGUGACAAACCGGAGGAAGGUGGGGAUGACGUCAAAUCAUCAUGCCCCUUAUGAUUUGGGCUACACACGUGCUACAAUGGACAAUACAAAGGGCAGCGAAACCGUGAGGUCAAGCAAAUCCCAUAAAGUUGUUCUCAGUUCGGAUUGUAGUCUGCAACUCGACUACAUGAAGCUGGAAUCGCUAGUAAUCGUAGAUCAGCAUGCUACGGUGAAUACGUUCCCGGGUCU
rnacentral:rRNA from 1 species